GUUGAACAGUGAGUAAAUCAACUUCCUGGACCACCCUCCCUCACGGCAGCAGGUUGUUCUGCAUGUACAGGCUGGUCCCAAAGAGUCUGAGAUCAGAGAUGAGCACUUUAGGCUUUGUGGCCUGCCAGGAAGGUUAGGAAGAGGGAGAGCUGUCCCAAGCUUCCAGAGGACAAGUUCACCUCCAUGUGCCCACCACUAGCCAAGCAUGAAAGACUGAGAAACUGGGCUGCCAAGAUGCCUUAGUGGGCAAGGGCUUGUGUCAACCUGGAGGACCCAGCUCCCAUCCCUGGAGCCCGCAUGGCGGAAGGAGAGAACCGCCUCCUGCAGGCUUGAGGUGAUCAUUUGAAGUCCAGUAACAACAAUAUUGGCCUUUAUUUUGGAUCUUCAUUUUCCCAUUGACUUGAAACUUUAUUUUACACAUUUGUCUAAUCGAUAUAUUGGAAAGAAGAACUCUUAUCUUUUAAAAUGCCCCUCACUCAGUGCCUUCCAGAGAACACCAGUGACACCUCUUAAGAGAAGACCUCUGAUCAUUGAUUAGCUUAGCUUUCCAGUGUGUUCUGGAAAAAAAAAACCCUCUGCUGUGAACAGAGAAAGACAGUAUAUCUGCGUCGGGAGCAAAGUCAAGUGUCUGAGGAAAUGGUGCUGUCUCUACUUGUGAGCUGUCGCACUUCCGGAAGGAUCCUUAUCCAUUCUUCAGUCGAGGGGUAUUUAGGUUGUUUCCAGGUUCUGACUAUGACAAACAAUGCUGCUAUGAACACAGUUGAGCACAUGUCCUUGUGGCACGAUUGAGCAUCCUUUGGAUAUA